rnacentral:rRNA from 1 species
AGGAUUCCCCUAGUAACUGCGAGUGAAGCGGGAAAAGCUCAAAUUUGAAAUCUGGCAGUCUUUUUUUUCUUCUUUGGCUGUCCGAGUUGUAAUCUAGAGAAGUGCUUACCUGCACUGGACCAUGUAUAAGUCUCCUGGAAUGGAGCGUCACAGAGGGUGAGAAUCCCGUCUUUGACAUGGACUGCCAGUGUGUUGUGGUGUGCUCUCAAAGAGUCGAGUUGUUUGGGAAUGCAGCUCUAAAUGGGUGGUAAACUCCAUCUAAAGCUAAAUAUUGGCGAGAGACCGAUAGUGAACAAGUACCGUGAGGGAAAGAUGAAAAGGACUUUGGAAAGAGAGUUAAACAGUAUGUGAAAUUGUUGAAAGGGAAACGCUUGAAGUCAGUUAUGUUGGCUGGGGAUCAACCUAGCUAUUUUUUUGCUGGGUGAAUUUCCUAGUCUGACAGGCCAACAUCAGUCUUGACUGCUGGAAAAGAGCAGAGGGAAUGUGGCACCUUUGGGUGUGUUAUAGCCCUUCGUCAUAUGUGGCAGUUGGGACUGAGGGAUGCAGCAUGCCGUGAGGCUGGGUCUUUGACCACGUUCAUGCUUAGGAUGUUGGCUUUUAAUGGCUUCAAUCGACCCGUCUUGAAACACGGACCAAGGAGUCUAACAUGCCUGCGAGUGUUUGGGUGGGGAAAACCCUUGUGCACAAUGAAAGUGAAAGUUGAGAUCCCUGUCAUGGGGAGCAUCGACGCCCGGACCUGAGCUUUUAGCGACGGAUCCGCGGUAGAGCAUGCAUGUUGGGACCCGAAAGAUGGUGAACUAUGCCUGAAUAGGGCAAAGCCAGAGGAAACUCUGGUGGAGGCUCGUAGCGAUUCUGACGUGCAAAUCGAUCGUCAAAUUUGGGUAUAGGGGCGAAAGACUAAUCGAACCAUCUAGUAGCUGGUUCCUGCCGAAGUUUCCCUCAGGAUAGCAGAAGCUCAUUAUCAGAUUUAUGUGGUAAAGCGAAUGAUUAGAGGCCUUGGGGUUGAAACAACCUUAACCUAUUCUCAAACUUUAAAUAUGUAAGAACGAGCUGUCACUUGACUGGACUGCUCGGUGAUUGAGAGCUUCUAGUGGGCCAUUUUUGGUAAGCAGAACUGGCGAUGCGGGAUGAACCGAUCGCAAGGUUAAGGUGCCAGAGUUCACGCUCAUCAGACACCACAAAAGGUGUUAGUUCAUCUAGACAGCAGGACGGUGGCCAUGGAAGUCGGAACCCGCUAAGGAGUGUGUAACAACUCACCUGCCGAAUGAACUAGCCCUGAAAAUGGAUGGCGCUUAAGCGUGACACCCAUACCUUGCUGUCAGUGUUGAAGUGAUGCACUGACAAGUAGGCAGGCGUGGAGGUCAGUGAAGAAGCCUAGGCAG